rnacentral:rRNA from 1 species
AUGCAAGUCGAACGGAAACGAUACUAGCUUGCUAGUAGGCGUCGAGUGGCGGACGGGUGAGUAACGCGUAGGAAUCUACCUGAUAGUGGGGGAUAGCCCGAAGAAAUUCGGAUUAAUACCGCAUAAUCUAUUAGUAGUAAAGUGGGGGACUUUCGAGCCUCACGCUAUCAGAUGAGCCUGCGUAAGAUUAGCUAGUUGGUAGGGUAAAAGCCUACCAAGGCAACGAUCUUUAGCUGGUCUGAGAGGAUGAUCAGCCACAUCGGGACUGAGACACGGCCCGAACUCCUACGGGAGGCAGCAGUGGGGAAUAUUGGACAAUGGGGGCAACCCUGAUCCAGCAAUACCGCGUGUGUGAAGAAGGCCUGAGGGUUGUAAAGCACUUUCAAUUGUGAAGAAAAGUUAGCGGUUAAUAACCGUUAGCCUUGACGUUAACUUUAGAAGAAGCACCGGCUAACUCCGUGCCAGCAGCCGCGGUAAUACGGAGGGUGCAAGCGUUAAUCGGAAUUACUGGGCGUAAAGCGUGCGUAGGCGGUUUAUUAAGUCAGAUGUGAAAGCCCCGGGCUUAACCUGGGAACUGCAUUUGAAACUGGUCAACUAGAGUAUGGUAGAGGAAAGUGGAAUUUCUGGUGUAGCGGUGAAAUGCGUAGAUAUCAGAAGGAACAUCAAUGGCGAAGGCAGCUUUCUGGACCAAUACUGACGCUGAGGUACGAAAGCGUGGGUAGCAAACAGGAUUAGAUACCCUGGUAGUCCACGCCGUAAACGAUGAUAACUAGCCGUUGGGGGGAUUUACCCUUUAGUGGCGAAGCUAACGCGUUAAGUUAUCCGCCUGGGGAGUACGGCCGCAAGGUUAAAACUCAAAGGAAUUGACGGGGACCCGCACAAGCGGUGGAGCAUGUGGUUUAAUUCGAUGCAACGCGAGAACCUUACCUGGUCUUGACAUCCUGCGAACUUUCUAGAAAUAGAUUGGUGCCUUCGGGAACGC